rnacentral:rRNA from 1 species
CUGGCUCAGGAUGAACGCUGGCGGCGUGCCUAAUACAUGCAAGUCGAACGAAGAUCUUAGGGAAUAAGCUUGCUUAGGAAUUUUGAUCUUAGUGGCGGACUGGUGAGUAACACGUGAGCAACCUGGCUUUCAGAGGGGGACAACGGUUGGAAACGACCGCUAAUACCGCAUGACAUAGUUUUAAGGCAUCUUGAAACUAUUAAAGGAGCAAUCCGCUGAAAGAUGGGCUCGCGUCUGAUUAGAUAGUUGGUGAGGUAACGGCUCACCAAGUCGACGAUCAGUAGCCGGACUGAGAGGUUGAACGGCCACAUUGGGACUGAGAUACGGCCCAGACUCCUACGGGAGGCAGCAGUAGGGAAUAUUGCACAAUGGAGGAAACUCUGAUGCAGCAACGCCGCGUGAAGGAAGACGGUUUUCGGAUUGUAAACUUCUUUUCCCAAAGAAGAAAAAAAUGACGGUAUUUGGGGAAUAAGCAUCGGCUAACUACGUGCCAGCAGCCGCGGUAAUACGUAGGAUGCAAGCGUUAUCCGGAUUUACUGGGUGUAAAGGGUGCGUAGGCGGACUUUCAAGUUGGAUGUGAAAACCCGGGGCUUAACCCCGUGAUUGCAUCCAAAACUGUAGGUCUUGAUUGGAGUAGAGGUAAGUGGAAUUCCGAGUGUAGCGGUGAAAUGCGCAGAUAUUCGGAAGAACACCGGUGGCGAAGGCGACUUACUGGGCUUUAAAUGACGCUGAGGCACGAAAGUGUGGGGAGCAAACAGGAUUAGAUACCUGGUAGUCCACACUGUAAACGAUGAUAGCUAGGUGUAGGGGGUCUGACCCCCUCUGUGCCGGAGUUAACGCAAUAAGCUAUCCACCUGGGGAGUACGAUCGCAAGAUUGAAACUCAAAGGAAUUGACGGGGACCCGCACAAGCAGUGGAUUAUGUGGUUUAAUUCGAAGCAACGCGAAGAACCUUACCGAGUCUUGACAUUUAACUAACGAAGCAGAGAUGCAUUAGGUGCCCUUCGGGGAAAGUUAAAACAGGUGGUGCAUGGUUGUCGUCAGCUCGUGCCGUGAGGUGUUGGCUUAAGUGCCGCAACGAGCGCAACCCCUGCCAUUAGUUGCUACGCAAGAGCACUCUAAUGGGACCGCCGAUGACAAAUCGGAGGAAGGUGGGGAUGACGUCAAAUCAUCAUGCCCCUUAUGACUCGGGCCACACACGUAAUACAAUGGUCGUUAACAGAGGGAAGCAAGGGAGCGAUCCGGAGCCAAACCCUAAAAACGAUCUCAGUUCGGACUGUAGGCUGAAACUCGCCUGCACGAAGUUGGAAUUGCUAGUAAUCGCGGAUCAGCAUGCCGCGGUGAAUACGUUCCCGGGUCUUGUACACACCGCCCGUCACACCAUGGGAGUUUGUAACACCCGAAGUCGGUGACCCAACAGUAAUGAGGGAGCCGCCGAAGGUGGGAUAAGCGACUGGGGUGAAGUCGUAACAAGGCAGCCGUAGGAGAACCUGCGGUUGGAUCACCUCCUU